CUGGAAGUACUAUGCAAAUCUUCAUUUGAAGACCCUGGGAACCGGGGGAGGGCUUUAGUUGCGAGCUCAGUAGGAGGGGAGCUCUGUGUCCCCGCUCGUGCACUCCUGCCUACUGCAAGUAGCUGGGGAGAGUUUUUUGAACUGGCAGAGGAGACGUUUUGCGCUUUGUGCGCUUCUGUGAGGCUUUGCAGUCCUUCUGUCUCCUGCUUUGUGCUUUUUUUUUUCCUGCCUACUUCUAAAUUUUUGCAUAAGAAUUGGGGAGGGGGGAGAUCUAAGAGUUACUGUUACUGAUUAUGAGGUCAGGAGGGUGCAGCACCCCUCCUGCCUGCCUUCCUCGCACACUGAUCUGGAGCCUCCUACCAGGCAGUGGUGCAGCUGCAGUGUGCUAUUCUGAGUUCCACAUCAGCAUAGCCUGACUGCUGGCAUUGCAUUAGCAUAGAGCACAGACCCGGUUUCAGUAAGCAAACAGUUCACCUGGUAAGGAAUAGUGGAGUGAAAUAGUUUGCAGUUCUCAAAUUAGCACGUUGUAGCCAGGUCUUAAAAAGCCCUCUCUUACUGGGGCAAAGACUCACAGCCCAGUACCUGCUUUAUGAAACCCUGCAGUCUGUCCUGGCAUGGCUUAGUGCUGUGUGUCACCUGUUUUGUAUUAGGAGAGGGUCACACUAACUGCCAGCUUCCUGGAAACUGCGUAGGGUCCUGCUUAGGCCUCUUGGAAAGGGAAAUACCCCAGCUGCACAGGCACGUGGGAGAACAGGGCAGCGGGGGAGGGACAGCAUGGAUUCAAAUCUGGGCAUUUGGGGGUUUAUAUCGUUUAUGCAUGUUAAAGGCUGUCACGGACUUUUUAUUUUUCUCACCUUUUUCAUGGCAGUAGUCCCACUGUUUAUUUUCAAACGUGGAGAGGUUUUUGUGUUCCGACAAACUCAGAAUUACUUUCUCCAGGGUUGUCGUUGUUUCAGUGCUGUUCUCUAUAUUCAUCCAAGAAGAUGCAGCCUCUUCAAAAAUCUCACCGUUAGUCAAGGGAAUGGAGGAAUCCAUACCACAAGGCCUGAUUCUCUUAGCUUCCACAUAUCCAAUGCUACAUAAGCCUACCAUUUUGUUCUGCAGGGACUUUACUGCUUUUGGGAGGGUGUGUUGCAGGCAUCCCCUUGUGUACAGCUGGGUCUAAAUUCACUCUUUUUUUUUUUUUUUUUCUUGUGUAACUCCGGAGUGACUUCAGUGAAUGCCGUCUGGAACUGUGCUAACUGGAAACCAGCCUCACUCCUACCACCAUGGAACUUUUUUUUUGCUGUGCCAUUGUGAUAGGAGGUGGAGACACCUCGAGGAGAAGGUCGAAGCAGACAACAGCAGUUGCAGGCAGCAAUGUCUGUCUAUGACUGGAGAAAAUCCUGCCUCAAUUAUAGAAAUGUCAGGAAGACUAUCCGUUUUUCAGAUCUGUUUUGAUACGUUUUAACUUCAUGAUGCAGAGUACGGUCGCUCUCAGGAGGUUGCAGAAAAAGGACAUAAAACCAUAAUAAGUUUUCAGAGAGGAUAUCAGCAUGCCAUCUGAAGGUUAUCCCACUGUGGUUCAUGCAGCUCAGGGUUUGAAGGACGAAAUGAUCACAUUGAUUUUCAUGAUGUUUAAGGCUAAACACGUGAAACCAUGUUCUGAUCUGGACAUUAUUUCUUCCUGACUUUAUGAAACAUGACAACUUGAAAAUACUCCAUCUGAUCAAUUGUAAAAAUUCAGGUAAUUCCUAUUAUUACUGUGGGAGAUUACCACUACUCUGGGAAAACAGUAGAAAGCAACAUGGAAAAACGAGGUUCUGGCAGCAAUUUAGAUAUCACUACAUUUGUAGAUCAAGUAAUUGAGUACGUGCACUCAUUUGUGGCCCUGGCAUACCAAUACAUUUUUUUUUCCUCUCUAAGAACUGAAGUUAUCACAUCACUGAAAUAUCUGUAGCUAGAUAAAUAAUACAGAGCUUGUAUGCAAUCUGUGCAAAACUGAAGGAAAACAGAUCUGAAAUUCGGGAUGGAGGAAAGGAUGGUGGACAUGCAACAGCUCUACUAUGAGAGUACCCUGCUACAGCAGUAGUGAAGGUAUGCAUGGAAAUGCUGAUAGUGACAUUGAGAGGAGGUAGAUGGGGCACUGUGUUGCUGUUGUAGGAAGGAAUGAAGGAUUCUCAAGGAGAGUGGGAAGAGCAUUCCUGAAGGGGAGAAGUGGGCAUCACACCAACCCAUGUGCAGCCUGCUUGUGGGCACGUGUGUACCUCAGGUGAUAGAGGGGAUGCUGAGAGAGGGAUUUGGAAAAAGUGGCACAUGAGGCAUUUGUGAAGCAGGGGGAAGUGUUAAAAAAUGAGGGAGGCCCUUAGAGUAAAUGGAAGUGGGGUGAGACUGGAUUUAUUCUGAGGAUUUGUAAAAAUGGGGGAGAGGGUAGCCCAUGGUUGGAUUGAGGAAGGUGAGUGUCCUGGCUUCACAGGGCCCAGCUUUUAAGUACUGACUUAGUGCUGUUAAAAAACAAAGGAGCCUUAAUAGGUUUAAAGUACUACUCUAUUUUCUGAAGUUAUUAGAUUCUCUUCUUUCCAUCUUAGUACUGGAUGUUGAAGCUUACUAAGCAAUAACCUAACAACACUGCUAGUAUUUCCACGUUCUGUUUCUUUAAAAAGUUCAUAAAACUUGUCACAAUGUCCCAGCAAAGCUCUUUCUGCUGCACUAUCUAAUCCAAAGUACUGUGUAUGAGAUUUAUGUUCUGUGAUAAACUUGGACCCCACCACAUUACAAGCGAACAGAUUACUUAAAGUUGCCAUUAUUAUUAAGUUUGAAGGGCUCUUUUGUUUCAUAGAGUACAUCACCCUUACCCCACAGCUGUGGUCUCCACGGCUCUGUGCAUCACACAUCUAUAAACUUGGGCAAUCUGGAAUAAAGAACUUCCUCCAGGGCAGUUUAAUAGUUGAGUAGAUUCACUGUGUUUUUUGUGAUAAAAUUGUGCACAUCUAAACUACAGUAGAAGAUAGCAGGCAUUGUGGAAUUGACCAAAGGGUCCUUGAUAUGUAAAUAAUAGGUUUCUCCUCUCAUGUGUAAGUCCCCUUGAACUUGAUAUUUUAAUAUAUAAGGUUUCCCUGAAACCCUGGAUCCAUACUGUAAGGUUCCUAGAAAAAUAAUUAUACACAAAAUCACCGGACUUCAGAUUCACCCCAUGUAAAGCCUGGCAAACUUGAGCCUGAAGACAAAGAAGAGUGAAACUGUAAUGCCAGUCACACCCUCAACACAAAGACUACAGGCGUAACCAGAGCAGGAAUUUGCUACAAAAUCUCUCUGAUCUGAAAUCAAGCAGAACUCUGGAAACAGCUGCUAAAUACCCAAGGCCAGAGACUUCUCGUCCUCAGGCCAGUUCUUGUGUUAUACGGUGAUCUAAAGCUUGUUCUGUUUCCAUUUUAUGGAAAGAUUGCUAAUAUUCAUUGUAGCAACUGAAAUAUUUUGCUUGGUCUUUGUUGCUGUUGUUAAAAUGAGUCUACAUGUGGUUGAAUUAAUAGUUUUUCUUAUUGUGACUGCGGGACAAAAAGACAUCACUAUCUCCCCAUUUCCAAGUGAGAAGUUCACCUUACAUCUUUAGGUGUACCCUUGGGAUUGCAACUAGCAGUGACUACCAACAUUAACAGUAGUAUAGUUUAUACUGUCUAAAUAGCCUCGGGGCAAAAGAUCAGCUUAAAUCAUUAAUGAAUUCAUCUUUAAAUUACUUGACUUGAAAAGGCUACAUAUUGCUUAUGUGUGACUGUGCAGUCUGGUCUCUAUAUUGUUUCUCAACUCAGACCAUCAGCAUCAAUUUCAUGUGUUCGUAGUCUGGUUCUGCUGACACUAAGAAGUGAUUUACUGAAUAUUGGGGUUUUACUUCUGAUUUUGUAUCCCAAACACAGCUGUAAUUCAGUGUGACUCUAGUGGAGGGUCACUCUGCAUUAGUCCAAGACCUGUCAGAUAUCCAAGUAUUCAAUGGCAAUACCUGAACAGGGACAGGUGGAGAGGACACAUUGAACUUCUCAGCUGGCUUCUUAUUUCCAGCCCCAUGCUCUGUACCGUUGUACUGUGUGGUCAGAAUCCUUCAAUUCUACUUCUUUUUGGUUUGUCAAUGCUAGCAGAUGGAAAUCCAGCUCAACUUUCAAAAAUGCUGAAUAAUUUAUUAAGAACAAAAUUGUUGGGUUUGAGAGCUAGUUCCCUCUCUUUUUCUCCUUUUUUUUUCCCUCUGCAAACUGACUUUCAGAGGCAAAGUUUCUAAUUACAGGUCAGGGAAGCAGGUUUAAUCACACAGCAGAGCCCUUGAUGCAGCAUUAGAGAGCGUUAUUUAUACACCUGAACUAAUAGGGAUGCAGCAUUUCAAUAGAGAACAAUAAGGUGGUUUUCAAUUUCACUCUUUUUUUUUUAAUGUGAAACAAGCCACAUCAGAUUAAGCAGGCUUUUUGACCUAAUUUAUUCAGAUUUUAAGUAACCAACGAGUAAGUGCUCUGCAGACUUGGAGCAGAAAGAAGCAAGAAUAGAGAACUGCACACGUAGCAAGGACAUAUCAGAGAAAGCCAGGAGGAGAUUGAAAGAGGAAGCCUUUGGGCAAACUAACCAGGGCAGAAAUACAAAUAUGCUGCUGUGUGUCCUGGGGAAGAAAUUGGAGGACAGUCUGUGGUAUGUUGAUAUGCACCCAGAUACCUCAAAGCUUUGUUCUUGUAAAACCAGGAAUAGGAGUGGUGAAGAGGAAACUGAAGCAUAUGAAGAGUCCCUUGUACUUCGUGCUUCAGGGAAUGGGAUCCCUGCACCAUCAGCACUUAAAGUCAUUGUCAAUUUUUACUGGACGUGUUGGUUCUGUAGUACUGAAAAGAAGUGAGAAAUCCUGGAUGGGAUUGUUCCUGCAAUGUCAUGGCCUCCAGUGUGAUUGAUUUGCAGCAGUAGGUGAAUUUUCUCAGCUGUUUUGGAACUCAGGUUUCCUAUGGAUUUUUCUCCAGUUUCAUCUCUAACUCCUGUAGUUUGGCUUUAUGUGUUUCACUUGGCUGCUUGGAAAGACUAUAAACAUUUCUAGGCCUUUCCUGGACUUUUUAGGGUUAAAAAGUGGGAGGCUUGUGACUUUGCAUUUGAUUCUCUAAGUUAUGGGAUAAACUGGGCUGGCUGACAUCCUGUUGCCCGGGUAGGUUGUGUGUACCAUUGGUCCAUGUGAUGGGAAAGGCCCCUAGCACUAGGCUCGUGCCUUCCAGCAGCAGUUUUCCUGCUUGUGAUUCAUUAUCCCACAGUGUGCCCAGGAACCUGGCAAAGCUGUGGAGCACAUCAUGACCCAACAACCCAUCUCAUCUGCCAUGUGAAAAGCACGAGAGAGAAAAAGAGAGGGAAUCUGUGCUUCAAAGUAGCUGAAAUGCAGGCUCUGUAUGGAGCAAAGGAUUUCAGCAAGAGUACCCAGGCUUAUGCUCUAUAUGUGAGACUUGACAUAGCCUUGAGCUCCUAGAAUCUGUAUUUUGCUGUGAGUGGUAGAUGUCUAGAUGGCAUACUCAGCUAAGAGACAGAUGAAUGCAGUGCAUUGAGAACCUAUAUGAUAUAUUACUUAAGGAAAAAAAGGUUAUCUACUUUUGUAAAUUUACUUUCAAUCUGAAGAUAAUUUUUUUGUGUUUAGAUUACAAAGACUGUGAACCUUAAUCUCAUGUAUGUCUGCAAAUCAUUACCAUGGUGCUGGAAUGGAUGUGCAGGAGUAGAAACUGAUUCACCAGGCAUGGAAUGUCACAGUGCUGCAGCUCCCUCCACCAGGCUGGGUUUUGAGCAGUGUGCUGGGAUCCAAAACUGGGUUACAACCUGGAUGGAAACUCAAUUGCAGAAAAAGGGUCACAGAUGUAAGACUAAGAAAAGCCUUCAGGAGAGAAAAUGGGAAAUUCUGCUCCCCAGGACACAACAGUAGGCACUCAACUCUACUUUGUGGGCCUUAUGUUGCCAACAGGAGGAGGUUUUCUGCCAGGCUGCAAAGAUGCAAGAUCUGUGCUGCUCUCCCUGUGACAUCCUUGUUAUUACUGUCACAUGCAGACGGCUGACACCCACUGUGUCAAAGCCAAGGGUUUGGUGUUGUGCUGCACCAGACAGCGUGUUGGGUGUGUGAUAGUCAGACUGCCCUUCCUGUGGGAGGAGAUUUAGAGGGAGAUGUUGCUUUUUGGUGUGCAAAAAUAGCUAUCUAUCAAAGCUGGAGGAUUUCAGAGAGGGAGGAGGCUUGUUAGGGAAAGGAUUAGCAGUGAGUACAUGGAUGGUCAUAUUUCAGGACAAACACCUGUAAAUCAGCCUAAGCCUGUAAGUAGCAACCUAUUAAACUGAGUUCACCUCUGCAGCACUCGCCCUGUGCCUGGUCAGCAAGGCCAGAAACCAGCCCUGAGUGGUGCUACAGUCUCAGCCUUUUCCCAUCUUGUGUACCAGUGGAAAUGGAGAAGCUGCAGAUAUUUACAGCUGGCAAGUCAAAACACUUAGUGAUGUAUUAAGGAGGUGAUGCCAUGUUUUUAAUACAUCUUUCUUCAUUUCUGUUUCUUUUCUCAUUUCUAGCCCUUCUUAGAGUUCUGAAAUUAUUUUCCUUCUUGUUUGCUUUUGAGAGGCUUUUUUUAUUUCUCAAGAAUUUGUUUUUGACACAGAUUGUAGGUCAAGUUUCCCUGUCCUGCCCCCUCUGUUCAGCAGAAGAGCUGUUAAAAGGAGUGUGUUGCCUGUUUUCCUGAAGGUGAUGCAUACUAUCCUUCUGGUAUCUCAUGCCUCUUUACUCCAAUUGUAGGAUGAGAAAUCAGGAUAUUAACUUGAAUUCUCUAUUAUUGCCAUUGGCAAUUCAUUUCAAAUAUUGGGUUUUAACAGUAGUUUAAAAGUUUUUUUUUUCCUUUAUUAAAGAAAACCUGUGAAGUUCUAUCAUUGUUAUUAUGUUGUCACCACUAAUUUACAUGAUACUUUCUUUGUUACCUGAGCUAGUAGAAGACACCUUCAGAGAAGGUAUUUAAUGUAAGAAGAUGUAUAAUGAGGAGCCAUUUGGAUUUCUCAGCUGUGAGGGAAUUUCUCUCCUGUAGAUAAGGCAGGGUGAAUAUCUACAAUGAACUGAGGCCCCAGCUCUGACCUCAGCACAUGGGCUGGUCCCGGGGGGUCCAAUAAACCACUGAUUUCAGUAAUACUACAUCCUUGCUUGAAGCAAAAUAUAUAUUUAAAUGGUCUACUGAUCUACUGUUUAACAUAACUGUCUAUUACAAUUAUUGUUAUAAAUCUCUCUGUUAUUUGAAUACUAAUGUGAAGGUGCCUAGCUGGACAAGAUCUGAAACUGUUCAGAGCACAGUGACACCUUUAGGUCUGCUGGAGAGCAGCAAACUCUGCAGCACAGUUUAAUGUCUGUAAUGUGGAACUGGCAGUGCAGCCCUGGGUAACGCAUGUCUAGACACACUUCCAAGUGUUUGUGGCACUUCCUUAUGUUUUAUGUUUUUCUUGAAGAAACAAGCUUGGCUCACCCAAUCAUGGCACUUGUGAAGUUCAGCAAAUUAUGAAGCUAUUUUCUUUUCUCAGAUGUUCUCAGGAUCCUGCAGAUACUGCAGGUGAUCCCUUUGUUUUGAGCUGGCUGCUGUAUCUGCCAGGUCAGCCACAGUUAGUGUUCAAAGCCCAGAACAGCCUGUUGUGAACGAUGAAGAACUGUUGUUUCCUUUGUAUUUAUAAAUAACAAAAUGUAAAGGACUGAGAAAUUUUUCUAAGCUGUGAUUAGAGUUCUAGAUGGAUAAUACAGGUAGAACAUCUUCACACUGGUGCUGUGUUUGCCUGCCUGUCAGUGGGGGGAUUCUGGUGGCACCAGUGCUGCACUUUCCAGAAGGAAGGAACUGGACAUGAAGAAAUGGGACAGGUUGGACAAGGCAUGUGAGUCUUGUGUGUUACUGGAAACCCACAUGAGCUCACAAAGUUAACUGCUGCAGAUCUAAAAGGUUCUUAAACAGCACUACCUCUCCCAACAUCCUCCCAAGGAAAAAUGGGCAUUCCAAACGAUUUGUAUUCAAAGAAACCAAAGUGAAUGUUAUCAUCCCUGUUUUACAGAUACAGAAACUAAGAUUUCAGCAAGUGAUUUACUGUGAGGAGAUCAGGAAUCUAAUUUUGUAAAAAAAUGUUCUUGUAAAUACUUGUCCUGUGUCUUCACUGGUAAGUGUUUAGAGUUCCUUCUGGCUUUGGAGUUUGAGAAUUAGUGGGAACAAUUGAUGUGCCUCUAAAAUGCUGCAUUCAUCUCUUCAGGAUUGUUCAGGUAGUGACUUUCCUUGCUGAAACACAUGGCCUUACCUUCAUUCCAGGAAGUAGGAUGAUCAUUUCUAAAUAAACUUUCAUUAAUUGUAAUGAAAGCAAUUUUGGAAAAGGAGAAUAAUCAGCUGUAUCAGAAAAAAAAAGAAAAAGAAAAAAGUGUG